UACGUAGGGGCCUAGCGUUGUCCGGAAUUAUUGGGCGUAAAGAGCUCGUAGGCGGUUCGGCAAGUCGGAUGUGAAAUCUCCACGCUUAACGUGGAGGGGCCAUUCGAAACUGCUGUGACUCGAGUCCGGUAGGGGAGUGUGGAAUUCCCGGUGUAGCGGUGAAAUGCGCAGAUAUCUGGAGGAACACCGGUGGCGAAGGCGGCAUCCUGGACCGACAUUGACGCUGAUCCGCGAAAGCCAGGGGAGCGAACGGG
rnacentral:rRNA from 1 species